CCCCCACGAAUUUUAAUGAUUCCACAGUAUAUGGACGAAGCUGAUUUGUUUAGGUUGAUUUGUCUGAUUACAGUCUUUUAAUAUUUAAACUGAAAAUUUGGUUAAUAUUCAUUUAACAAUGUUAAAAAAUCUUCUGAAUGAGACGGGCGAGUAGGGCUAGCAAUUGUUUGGAUAUAGACUUGAUUUUUAUUCCAUCACGGGACAGAAUUUAAAGGUCACCAAGAACGGAUUAAUUAUAAGUCUUUAAUAUCAGAAUUUGUUGUUGUUUUAAGGAAAUAGGUUAAUUGUUUUCAAGUGUACUAGAGCAGAAUACAUAUUAAUGUCUCUAUUUUCUUGAGCGCUAGCAACUACGUUGGUCUUCUUUACUUGAAUACGCAUGCCUGACUUCAUGGUUAGGCAUUCUGGGAAUACUGUACUUCUGUAGAUUAACUGUGCCAUGUGAACUUUGUUAUAUUAUCUAUAUAUAUGAUCUAAAGUUUUGUGUUUUAUAAUAAAUGCCAAAA
rnacentral:misc_RNA from 1 species